UACAGAGGUCCCAAGCGUUGUUCGGAUUCAUUGGGCGUAAAGGGUGCGUAGGUGGCGCCGUAAGUCGGGUGUGAAAUUUCGGAGCUUAACUCCGAAACUGCAUUCGAUACUGCGGUGCUUGAGGACUGGAGAGGAGACUGGAAUUUAUGGUGUAGCAGUGAAAUGCGUAGAGAUCAUAAGGAAGACCAGUGGCGAAGGCGGGUCUCUGGACAGUUCCUAACGCUCAUGCACGAAAGCCAGGGGAGCAAACGGG
rnacentral:rRNA from 1 species